rnacentral:rRNA from 1 species
GAUGAACGCUGGCGGCGUGCCUAAUACAUGCAAGUAGAACGCUGAAGGAGGAGCUUGCUCUUCUGGAUGAGUUGCGAACGGGUGAGUAACGCGUAGGUAACCUGCCUGGUAGCGGGGGAUAACUAUUGGAAACGAUAGCUAAUACCGCAUGACAACAGUUAUUGCAUGAUAACUGUUGAAAAGGGGCAACUGCUCCACUACCAGAUGGACCUGCGUUGUAUUAGCUAGUUGGUGAGGUAACGGCUCACCAAGGCGACGAUACAUAGCCGACCUGCGAGGGUGAUCGGCCACACUGAGAGUGAGACACGGCCCAGACUCCUACGGGAGGCAGCAGUAGGGCAUCUUCGGCAAUGGGCGGAAGUCUGACCGAGCAACGCCGAGGGAGUGAAGAAGGUCUUCGGAUCGUAAAGCUCUGUUGUAAGAGAAGAACGAGUGUGAGCGUGGAAAGUUCACACUGUGACGGUAUCUUACCAGAAAGGGACGGCUAACUACGUG